AAGUCGUAACAAGGUUUCCGUAGGUGAACCUGCGGAAGGAUCAUUAACAAAUCAAAACACGUCAUCCUCAUGAGAGAUGCGGAACAGCUGUAACAAGCUGGGAUGCUCUUCCAUGUAGGGAUCUUGACAACACAUACACGAUCAUUAACUGACACACUUAACACAAGAGACAUGUCCCUCAAAAGACAUGCCCAACAACGUUAAUCGUCAACAACUUUUAACAAUGGAUCUCUUGGCUCUU
rnacentral:misc_RNA from 1 species